CAUAAUUGAAAAUAUAACCUGAAGCAUUCAGUGUUCUUUAUUUUAUUAAAUAAUAAAGUUUAAAUCAGAAUUGUCUCUUUUUAAAAUUAUAUAGAGACGCACAGUAUUUCGUAUCAUCUAAACUGGAAAUUUAUACAAUAUUUCUAAAUUAUAGAAACAUAACACUUACCUCUCAGGAUCUUUCGGAAAUCUGGAAAAUGAUAAAUUUGAAUGUUUUUGCUUAUAUUUUCUACAAAAAGCUGCAGCACAACACGAGGGUCCGAAAGACGCCAUUUCUUCUUAGCACUGAAUGCCCUCUAGUGGCUGCUGGAAACGAGUUUACAAAAACCUCGAAGUUUCGUAUCCGUUCUAUCAUCAUCCGUGGUUAUGACUCUCUCAAAGAACCACGUGCAGAGAGAAAAGUGGUAAGCAUCGACGCACAGUGGGGUAUUUGACCGAUCUGGGCGGCCAAAAUUAUUUUUGUGGUUUAAUCUGUUGUAAACCCACAAUAUAAUUAGUUCAUUGCAUUUUUUAGUGAUAGAUAAUUUUAUUGAAAAAAAUAUAUUAUUGUUAAAACAUUUUUAUUCUAUAUAUUCAUAUAAAAGUAACAUAAAAAAAUACAAGUAAAAUAAAAACUUAACAUAAAACUAACAAAAAAUGAAAUAAAAGAAAAAGUACGAAGAAUUUUAGUAGAACCGGAAGAUGUAUCUUCAGAAGACAAUUCACAAUUAUUUCCGUUUUCUUCCUCAGAAUCCUUUUCGUAUUGGGCUUCGUGAGGUUCUGCAGGAAGCAGCAUAUCAAUAGUUUCUUUUAAGAAGGCUUUGUUUUUUCUUCGCUGCGCCCUCAUGCCAAUUAUUAUUGGAUCUGAAGUUAACAGUAAUUUGUUAAGUACGUCUCGGUUGCAAGAGACCCUUGAAAAUUUUCUCGCGAAUCUAUGACGAAACAGCCGAAAGUGUUUGUUUCGAGCUUUUGCGGCUUCUGAUAAUUGAACUAUAGGAAGAAGGGCGUGCUCUAACCUUGUUUGAACGAAGUGACCGUACACACGCAGUCGUAUCCGUGGAUUCGUACUUUCGAAUACGGACUCAACACCCAGUUCUGUAACGAAAGAAUGUCCGUUAAAACUAACUGUAUCCGUGGUCACAAAGAGUCGGAUGUGUGUGGUUCCUUGUCUUCUCUCCGACAAGGACUGCCAUCUAGAAGGAUGCGGGUAAAUAAAUGAGCAUCCUUCUGCCUAACAGUGCUUGUAUUAUGAAUUAACAAGCAUCUCAGUUCCUUCUUUCGGAGCAGCAGCGGACGGGGGGGGGGGGGAGCUGGAUGCUUGUCCCGGCGAGGCCGAACAGUCGGCAGCAGCAGCAGCAUAUCUAUGUAUCAUCACCUAUAUAAUCACGUGACUUAUGUAUAGGUUAUAUAUCACAUGACAUUAUGUAAUUUAUAUAUCAGCGUUAGGUUAUGUUAGUGGAAGUUAGGUUAGUUGUUUUAACCCUGCAGAAGGGAAUGAUUUCGCAGAAAAUAUCUGUG
rnacentral:lncRNA from 1 species